rnacentral:ncRNA from 1 species
GAAAAGGCUUUGAAAGGGAAGAGUACGCACGUUUGCCGGCGCAGAGAAGGGAUGUUUGGUGAAAAUCCCUGCGGCGGCGUGUGGAAAGUAGCCCCGGAGCUGUGAACUGAACGCGCUUCGCGCAAGUAGGCUUCAUCGGGUGUCCGCCGUUACAGGGAACGCCGCAUCGGCCUUGUGCCCGUGCGGGCAGAGUGUGCGUGCCUUUUCGGGCGCGCAAACAUAGGUGGUACCGCGAAAGAAUCAGCUUUCGUCCUAUUG